rnacentral:rRNA from 1 species
UGAGUAACCUGCCCUUAACUCUGGGAUAAGCCUGGGAAACUGGGUCUAAUACCGGAUAUGACUCCUCAUCGCAUGGUGGGGGGUGGAAAGCUUUAUUGUGGUUUUGGAUGGACUCGCGGCCUAUCAGCUUGUUGGUGAGGUAAUGGCUCACCAAGGCGACGACGGGUAGCCGGCCUGAGAGGGUCGACCGGCCACACUGGGACUGAGACACGGCCCAGACCUCCUACGGGAGCAG